UUGUUGUAAUACAUCCAACGAACGAGGCUACUUUUUAAGUGAAAAAGUUAAUUUAAGUUUCAUUAAAUGCCACCUAAAAAGCAACCAGAAAAAGGCGCAAAAGGUAGUGCUAGUAGCAGUAAAGGUAGUGGUGGAAAAUCUGGCGGUGACUCAAAAGUUGAAUUUACUGGUACUAAAUCUGGUACAUCUGGUGGCAGCACGGUAAGUGCUGGAAAAUCAGUCGGUGACACAAAAGCUCACAAUUUUUUUAAUAAAGCAGCUGUGAUUCAGCCCACUACUAAUGAAUCUGGUGCAAAAGAAAAAAAAGGUGGAACAGCUGUCAAAGUCCGUCACAUCUUGUGCGAGAAGCAGUCAAAAUGUUUGGAGGCAUUGGAGAAAUUGAAGGCUGGUCAGAAAUUCCCGGACGUUGCGGCCGCGUACAGUGAGGACAAGGCCAGGCAGGGCGGGGACCUCGGCUGGAUGACUCGCGGUUCCAUGGUGGGCCCUUUUCAGGAUGCGGCGUUCGCCUUGCCCAUCUCAUCGGUCACGAAUCCUGUGUACACAGACCCCCCAGUAAAGACGAAGUUUGGAUACCACAUAAUAAUGGUAGAAGGGAAAAAAUGACUGCCAUGGUGUUUGAGUUUGAAUAUUUCUGGGCGAUACUUUUGCUGUUCAUAAUGGAACGGAUAUGCUGCCUGCAAGAGCAGUUCGACAGGGACUUCACCAAGUUACCAGACCCGGAGAGAUCUAGCGAAUCUCUCAACUCGGACCUCGAAGAAUUUUCUAAUAGAGAUGGCGGUUUGAAGAUGAGCUUCCUUCGCUUGUGCCGCCUGAUGCACGUCACCAUGCUGCUCAGCCUCGUCUACUUCUGCAACAUCUGUCUCUGGUUCAUCAUGACCAAGAAGAACUCGCCCAGAACCCUUAGAUAUACAUUCAAAGUUUCUAUUCCAUCGUCAUAAUGCAGUUUGAUAAUAAGAAUAAAUUUUUGUUAAUAAGUGAUAUGAAAUACAUGUUUAUAUUGUUUUUA